rnacentral:rRNA from 1 species
UACGUAGGGUGCAAGCGUUAAUCGGAAUUACUGGGCGUAAAGCGUGCGCAGGCGGUUUUGUAAGUCUGUCGUGAAAUCCCCGGGCUCAACCUGGGAAUUGCGAUGGAGACUGCAAGGCUAGAAUCUGGCAGAGGGGGUAGAAUUCCACGUGAUAGCAGUGAAAUGCGUAGAUAUGUGGAGGAACGACCGAUGGCGCAAGG